rnacentral:lncRNA from 12 species
GCUUCCAGGGUGGCAGAACUGACAAGGAAGUUGCGCUGAGCUUCAGGAGGUCCCCUGGAAAUAUUAAGGGGUGGAGACAGAGGCAGAUCAGGAGGUAAAUUAUCAAAACUCACCACUGGUAAGGUGACCUCAGGAAGGGGGCAGGAAACAACGUGGUGCUAAGGGUAGAACGAGUUGCCCUGGUGUCAGUGAGAAGCGUGGUGGGAUGCCCUCGAGGAUGUAGGGUUAUUUCCCCUUGUGAGUUUGGUGGUGCUUGAGGGCACUGGAAGCUUACUUCCCUGGAAAGAGAGUUUCUUUCUCCGGAAAGAGAGAGUCCUGGUGAGGAGGGGACUCAGGCUUUUCCCUUCCUCUUGAGGCCUGGCACUCCCAGACCCAACACCCUUCUUUCUUACAAUUUCAGCAAGUGUCCCAAUUGGUGGAAGAUGGUGAUUUUGGAAUUUGCCAUAGAUUAAAACUUUCAGGACCUCCUAGAUCUUUUAAUCCCAAAGCCAUAAGCUUGCCUUCUGUAUUUCCAAUGGUUUUGAAAUACUAUCCUCGUAAUGCUGGGCUAUUGUCUGGCGCUUAGACAUGUCUGCGUUUUUGCCAGUUAAUAUUAUUUAAUAUUAUUUCUCUGGAAUGGGUCAUGAAGCUCUGGUCUGCAACUAUUUCUACCGCUUGUGGCCCGAGCUGAUGCUAAUAUGGAAGGUCAGCUCCAGCCCCAAGUGCUCCUUCCUGCUGUCUCUAUUUAAUGGUGAUCGUUAGGCACAUUUCAUCUUUGUUUGUAAUUUUGAAUACCUGACCAAUCCAUUUGGGCAAGAGAGACCUGAGGGAUGGCUUCUAGUCAUUUUUCUCUUACUUUCUUCAUUUUCUAAUGGGAGUUAGAGGUAUCCUUGAAAGUCGUCAGAUAUGGUGGUCCUUUGGCCUUUCCAAAUUGAAGGGAGGUAUCCCCAAGACCAAACCACAGGUAGAGAAGUUGAUCUAAAUCAGGGAAUCUGGAGAGCAUACUCCCAGAACCACCCUAUAAUAUUCAACAAAUCUUUUCCUUUUUUCUCAGGAGUCAGGAGAGUCCUUGAUGAUGACAUGUUGAUUCUGAGACCAAGUUUUAAAUGGCGUCUCUUCUGUCAACCUGGCUUGAGAAUGGGCAGGACCACAGACCUGGAACUAGGAAGCCCAGGCUGCCCUCUACUGGUGAUUCCUGACAAUGACCACACAGCCAGGUGAGACCUGCAGCCCCAAACCACCGCCUGGUGAGAACCGCACCCAGGGACCUCGGUCAGGGCUGUGCUCCAGACCAGGCCUCCAAUGGGAGGCUGGGCGCCUCCCCAGGGACUAGAGCUGGUUCCUCCAUCUCUGCCUGGCUU